rnacentral:tRNA from 1 species
GUCUGGUUAGCUUAGUUGGUAGUGCGUCUGCCUUGUAAGCGCUAGGCCGCGGGUUCGAUUCCCGCCCGGGGCG